ensembl:lncRNA
GCUGUAUUGUAGCUCUCCUGUGUGCUGGCCUUCCCUUCAGCCGUGCAUGGAACUCUGGGGACCUGACCUCUGCACAGCCAGAUCCAAAACAUGACCUUGGCAUCCUGCUCCCUCACUCUGGUCUGUUUCCCUAUUCUGUGUCUGCCAGGAAGUGAGACCUUGUCUAUAGAAGAGGUGAGCACCCUUGAACGUGUUUCCUAUACGUACACUGGGCUGACCCAGGUCUAGGCAGCAAAAAUCUGAUAUCCAAAGCUAUGUGACCUGCAGGGGCUGUUGAUGGAAGGAGGAAGGGUUCUCUCUUGUCUUACCUGAAUGUGACCUCUUCCAGUCACUUAACACACAAGGACUACUUAUGUGGAUUUGGGGAUGGCAAAAGUUGCUAAAAUAAUAGAUAUAAUAUGCAGAGACCACCUGAGAGUAUAUUCUGUGUGGAAAAAAAUCAAGUUCAGCCAGGCCUGAGGCACCAGAUUCAGGAAGCCAUCCUGAACCCCUGCUUUGUCUCCUGACAAACAAAUGGGGUGAGGUCACAAGGAAGUGACCCCUGAGCUGCGAGUGGACCCUGAGCUUAGGGCACAGAGGCAGAGGAAGAGCAGGAAGCAGGUGCCCCCAGGGUGGGAAGAGUGGGAGAAGGACUGGUGCUCUUCUUCUGAGUGGGCCAGGAAGUGACCCGGUGGUGGGAAGUGGCUGAAGGUGGCGUGUGCAGGGGCAGACUGAGUGCAGGGUCGGAAGCGAGCCUGGUAAACAAAGCUGAGCUGAUGGAUCGCUCAGGACAAUGUGUGCAGUGGAAGUUUCUAGAAACCCGAAGCUGGCAGGGAGAAACAAUAGACAGACAGAGACCAGGGACCUAAGUGUGUGUCAUUCAGAAGACUCUCUGGCAAGUGACUUUUGAAAGCUGCGAGGAUCCCAUCAACCUGGGUGUGUCAUAUGGCUUGGCCUCUCCAUCCCAGGAAGGGAAGCCCAGGAUGGAAGACACGCAUGGAAGAAGAGUCUGAUUGGUGGGACGAGGGGGUUUUCUCAAAUGACGUCACUUCCUUGUGGGCUGACCGCCCUUAUGGGAAGCGAGUUGCCAGGUGUGUUGAGGAUCGCAGGAAGGAACAGGACGGCAGGAACUGGACCAGGGUCAUCUGUGAGCUCAGCACGCACCUGCUCCUCCUGGAGACUUCGGAUGAUCUUCCUGACCUUGAACAUAACUCUCAGAACCACACAUCCCAAAGCUCCAGCAGAGGUCACCUAGAAUGGAGGUGACCAGGCAGUAUCUAGCCUCCCUGGACCCUUUUGUGAGCUUCAGUUUACUUUAUAACUAUGGCAGCAAGGUCUCACCUAGUCAGCUGGAGACGAAGUCACUUGUCUUCUUUCUGUCCUCAGGCCUCACCCUGCCACAGCUAGGGUCUAGCAUCUUUCCACCCCUCCCCCACUUGGGGAGCUUCUCUGAGUACACAUCUUCUUUCUUUUGGAAUUUUUUUUUUUUUUUUUGACAAGCACAGUGCAGAACACGGCAGAACCGGUCUCUCUGGGGACCCGAGACUUUUCUUGGCAGCCCGGCGCAUCUCGAAUUGGCAUGUCUUUUUCCGUACAAACUCCCGCUCUUAGCUUGCAUCUCCCCCUAGCUCCCCUGACUCACACUGUUUCUCUCAGCAAAGCAUAGAUCUCACAUCUCCCCUCCGUACCCUGCCUCAAGCUGUCUGUGUUUUCUCCUAUCUCAGUUCCAACCUGCCACGGUAUCAGCGUUCCCAGCAGCCUCGUGUCCUGCACAUAAGCUGUUAAGUGGCCAUCUGUGCAUUGAUAGAAAAGACUGAACAAGACGUACGUGGUCAAGUUCAGGGAAAGCCCGGGCGUCUCCAGGGACCCACCAGGUGUGUUCGGACUUAGCAUUAGCUCUUCUUUCGAUACAGUCAUUUAACCAGCCAGGGACCUGUGCACAGCAGAAUCCCCAGAGUGUCUGCUGGGACUUGAGGACAUCCACCCUCAUGGACUGAACCAGAACCCCAGUCUUCCAUUGUGAGGCAGCCAUGUAUUGGACUAGCCUCUAAGCCUAAUAAAUCUCAUGUAUA